CUACUACUCCCUCUGUCCCAUAUUAAGUGACUCAAAUUUGCUCAAAUAUGGAUGUAUCUAUGCCUAAAAAGCGUCUAGAUACAUGUAAUAGAAAGUCACUUAAUAUGGGACGGAGGGAGUAUUAU
rnacentral:pre_miRNA from 1 species